rnacentral:rRNA from 1 species
CCUACGGGAGGCAGCAGUAGGGAAUCUUCGGCAAUGGACGGAAGUCUGACCGAGCAACGCCGCGUGAGUGAAGAAGGUUUUCGGAUCGUAAAGCUCUGUUGUAAGAGAAGAACGAGUGUGAGAGUGGAAAGUUCACACUGUGACGGUAUCUUACCAGAAAGGGACGGCUAACUACGUGCCAGCAGCCGCGGUAAUACGUAGGUCCCGAGCGUUGUCCGGAUUUAUUGGGCGUAAAGCGAGCGCGGGCGGUUAGAUAAGUCUGAAGUUAAGGGCUGUGGCUUAACCGUAGUACGCUUUGGAAACUGUUUAACUUGAGUGCAAGAGGGGAGAGUGGAAUUCCAUGUGUAGCGGUGAAAUGCGUAGAUAUAUGGAGGAACACCAGUGGCGAAAGCGGCUCUCUGGUCUGUCACUGACGCUGAGGCUCGAAAGCGUGGGUAGCGAACAGGAUUAGAUACCCUGGUAGUCCACGCCGUAAACGAUGAGUGCUAGGUGUUAGGCCCUUUCCGGGGCUUAGUGCCGGAGCUAACGCAAUAAGCACUCCGCCUGGGGAGUACGACCGCAAGGUUGAAACUCAAAGGAAUUGACGG